UGGGGAAUAUUGCGCAAUGGGGGAAACCCUGACGCAGCAACGCCGCUUGAGCGAUGAAGGCCUUAGGGUUGUAAAGCUCUGUUUUAAGGGACGAAUGUUACGGGGAGUAAUAUGCCCUGUAAUUGACGGUACCUUAAGAGGAAGCCCCGGCUAACUACGUGCCAGCAGCCGCGGUAAGACGUAGGGGGCGAGCGUUGUCCGGAAUUAUUGGGCGUAAAGAGCACGUAGGCGGGACUUUAAGUCAGGUGUGAAAGACCGGGGCUCAACCUCGGGGUGGCACUUGAAACUGGGGUUCUUGAGGGCAGGAGAGGAAAGUAGAAUUCCUGGUGUAGCGGUGAAAUGCGUAGAAAUCAGGAGGAAUACCAGUGGCGAAGGCGACUUUCUGGACUGACCCUGACGCUGAGGUGCGAAAGCGUGGGUAGCAAACA
rnacentral:rRNA from 1 species